rnacentral:rRNA from 1 species
UGCGCGUGGCGCCUCGGCGGCGGAGCUGAGCCUGAGUCUGAGCGGCGCUGCGGCCGCGCGGGGUGUGGUGACUGGUGAGAUUUGAGGCGAGGGGAGCCGCCGGAGGGGAGAGCGUUUGGACUUUGGACCGUGGGGGUUUGACGAGGACGUGCGGGGCGAGGCGAGGCGAGGCGAGGCGGGAGCGUGCGUGCGUGUGUUGUGUUGGCGCUGGUGAAGUUGGGUUGGAGACGAUGGUAGGCUCUGACUCUACGGGGUUCCGCGCAUCUGGAUGCGGUGGGAUCUGUGCGCGAUCCGGCAUCGAGCGGCGUGCGGGGUGGUGGCCUGGUGGGUUGGACUUGAGCCGAGGGUGUGGC